rnacentral:tRNA from 1 species
CGGGGUAUAGCGCAGUUUGGUAGCGCGCUUGGUUCGGGUCCAAGAGGCCGUGGGUUCGAAUCCCGCUACUCCGACCA